CCCAAUUGCGGAAGGCCUACCAUGCAGUCGAACGGUAGCACAGAGAGCUUGCUCUCGGGUGACGAGUGGCGGACGGGUGAGUAAUGUCUGGGAAACUGCCUGAUGGAGGGGGAUAACUACUGGAAACGGUAGCUAAUACCGCAUAACGUCGCAAGACCAAAGAGGGGGACCUUCGGGCCUCUUGCCAUCAGAUGUGCCCAGAUGGGAUUAGCUAGUAGGUGGGGUAACGGCUCACCUAGGCGACGAUCCCUAGCUGGUCUGAGAGGAUGACCAGCCACACUGGAACUGAGACACGGUCCAGACUCCUACGGGAGGCAGCAGUGGGGAAUAUUGCACAAUGGGCGCAAGCCUGAUGCAGCCAUGCCGCGUGUAUGAAGAAGGCCUUCGGGUUGUAAAGUACUUUCAGCGGGGAGGAAGGUGUUGUGGUUAAUAACCACAGCAAUUGACGUUACCCGCAGAAGAAGCACCGGCUAACUCCGUGCCAGCAGCCGCGGUAAUACGGAGGGUGCAAGCGUUAAUCGGAAUUACUGGGCGUAAAGCGCACGCAGGCGGUCUGUCAAGUCGGAUGUGAAAUCCCCGGGCUCAACCUGGGAACUGCAUUCGAAACUGGCAGGCUAGAGUCUUGUAGAGGGGGGUAGAAUUCCAGGUGUAGCGGUGAAAUGCGUAGAGAUCUGGAGGAAUACCGGUGGCGAAGGCGGCCCCCUGGACAAAGACUGACGCUCAGGUGCGAAAGCGUGGGGGAGCAAACAGGAUUAGAUACCCUGGUAGUCCACGCCGUAAACGAUGUCGACUUGGAGGUUGUGCCCUUGAGGCGUGGCUUCCGGAGCUAACGCGUUAAGUCGACCGCCUGGGGAGUACGGCCGCAAGGUUAAAACUCAAAUGAAUUGACGGGGGCCCGCACAAGCGGUGGAGCAUGUGGUUUAAUUCGAUGCAACGCGAAGAACCUUACCUACUCUUGACAUCCAGAGAACUUUCCAGAGAUGGAUUGGUGCCUUCGGGAACUCUGAGACAGUGCCUGCAUGGCUGUCGUCAGCUCGUGUUGGUGAAAUGUUUGGGUUAAGUCCCCGCAACGAGCGCAAC
rnacentral:rRNA from 1 species